CAAAUGGUAGCACUAAUAUAGCAGCUCCCCACCCCCAGCAAACCUCCCUGAACGCCACGACCUGUCACCACAGAAAAUGUCAGAAUUUGCCAUAUCCCGUCCCCUGGGACCUACUUCGAUGACAUCCGUUACCAAAAUUCAUUAUCAUGGCCGCCGCGACACUGACCUCAUUUAAAGCAUCUCUCCAUCAUACCUCUUGCGUCUCAUCAGACCUACUGCUAUGAUAUCAUAAAUGAAAAUAUAAACAGGCUAUUGAUCGGUGAUAUUGACCUGUUUUAUACGAUGCUAUCAGGUAGUGCAGAUGGAAAUGGUUGUUUAUGGGAAGAAAUGUAAUGUUAAACUGAAUUAGGACUAUCCCAUUACCCUGUACGGAUGAGUCAAUAAAUGUGUUUAUACUGCGAGGCACUUUAUCUGCACAUACUAGUUUCAUAUUAAGAACUGCCUAACUAGAACUUAAUUGCUACAUACACUUCAUAAGGAUGACCCUGUUUGGGCAUAUUAUUAAUAAUACGGAGAUUUACAGUGAGUAGGUGAGGAAAAAGCUACAGAAUAUCAAAGAGAACAAAUGUAUACUGUAUAAAUACCUAUGUUAGGCAAGAAAUAUUUUUUUUUUCAGAUUUCAUACUUUGCCUAACCCCGCGUAGACAUUGCUGAAAAUGCCCAAACACUGACCGUAAUCUUUAGUUGGCUUGAAACUGCAAAGCCAUUUAGAGACGAAAAGGACACUAAGGGAUUAUUCAGUAAACUCCAAAAAUGCGGUAAAAUAAAAAAAAUUAUGAAUAAGCCCCUAAACCUGUAUUAUAGAAUACACAUCGAUAGAAAGCGCAUUCUCAAAAAGCAAUGUUUGGUGAAAAUUAAAUGAACACUCAAAUAUAGUUCUUUUUACGUUACAACGUGCUUGUUUUAAUUUAGAUAGCUCCCCCUUGGAGAAAUCACCUAAACUUGCAAUUACAAAACAAUUGGGGACCUAUGGCACAUACGUGGUUUUCACUACCAUCCACCAAACCACAAGACAGGAUUUAUACAGAUAUCAUAACCCAGACACGCAUAUCCAAAUAUAUACCCUCUUUUAGGGUCUUUAAAAGGAAGAAAAACACAGUUAAUUCAUUUUCCAGUUCAACGUUUCUGUGAAAGAUUGAACGGACAAAUGUCAUCAAAUAUUAACGUCUCAUUUUUUAAAUGUUUAUUGCACUUUUGAAACUUGGUUAUAUUUUUUAUUGGUG